rnacentral:rRNA from 1 species
CCUACGGGAGGCAGCAGUGGGGAAUAUUGCACAAUGGGCGAAAGCCUGAUGCAGCAACGCCGCGUGAAGGAAGACGGUUUUCGGAUUGUAAACUUCUAUCAAUAGGGAAGAAAGAAAUGACGGUACCUAAAUAAGAAGCCCCGGCUAACUACGUGCCAGCAGCCGCGGUAAUACGUAGGGGGCAAGCGUUAUCCGGAAUUACUGGGUGUAAAGGGAGAGUAGGCGGCAAGGUAAGCGAUAUGUGAAAGCCUUAAGCUUAACUAAAGGAUUGUAUAACGAACUAGCUAGCCAGAGUACAGGGGAGGGAAGCGGAAUUCCUAGUGUAGCGGUGAAAUGCGUAGAUAUUAGGAAGAACACCAGUGGCGAAGGCGGCUUUAUGGACUGAAACUGACGCUGAGGCUCGAAAGCGUGGGGAGCGAACAGGAUUAGAUACCCCGGUAGUC